rnacentral:rRNA from 1 species
AUUCGUGGCGGACGGGUGAGUAUAAUAUAGAUAUCUACCGAGCACUGGGGGAUAACAGUUAGAAAUGACUGAUAAUACCGCAUACGCCAUAUUGGGAAAACUACGGUGGUGUUCGAUGAGUCUAUACUGGAUUAGCUAGUUGGUGGGGUAAAAGCCUACCAAGGCUACGAUCUAUAGCUGGUUUGAGAGGAUGAUCAGCCACACUGGGACUGAGACACGGCCCAGACUCC